rnacentral:rRNA from 1 species
GACGAACGCUAGCGGCGUGCCUAAAGUAUGCAAGUCGAACGGGAGAGAGGGCUUGCUCUCUCUCUAGUGGCGAACGGUUGAGUAACACGUAGACCACCUGCCUCCGAGUGGGGGAUAACUGGGGGAAACUCCAGCUAAUACCGCAUGCGGCAAAGAGGAGCCUUCCUCUUCUGCUAAAGGCUUCGGUCGCUCGGAGAUGGGUCUGCGGCCUAUCAGCUA